rnacentral:rRNA from 1 species
UACGUAGGGUGCAAGCGUUAAUCGGAAUUACUGGGCGUAAAGCGUGCGCAGGCGGUUAUGCAAGACAGAUGUGAAAUCCCCGGGCUCAACCUGGGAACUGCAUUUGUGACUGCAUGGCUAGAGUGCGGCAGAGGGGGAUGGAAUUCCGCGUGUUGCAGUGAAAUGCGUAGAUAUGCGGAGGAACACCGAUGGCGAAGGCAAUCCCCUGGGCCUGCACUGACGCUCAUGCACGAAAGCGUGGGGAGCAAACAGG